UAAUACGUAGGGGGCGAGCGUUGUCCGGAUUUACUGGGCGUAAAGCGCGUGUAGGCGGCGCCUUAAGUCAGGUGUGAAAGCCCGGGGCUCAACCCCGGAGUGCCGCCUGAAACUGGGGUGCUUGAGGACGGAAGAGGGGAGUGGAAUUCCUGGUGUAGCGGUGAAAUGCGUAGAUAUCAGGAGGAACACCCGUGGCGAAGGCGGCUCCCUGGUCCGUUACUGACGCUGAGACGCGAAAGCGCGGGGAGCGAACGGGAUUAGAUACCCCGGUAGUCCGCGCCGUAAACGAUGGUCACUAGGUGUGCGAGGUAUCGACCCCUCGUGUGCCGUCGCUAACGCAUUAAGUGACCCGCCUGGGGAGUACGGCCGCAAGGUUG
rnacentral:rRNA from 1 species